CCUACGGGAGGCAGCAGUAAGGAAUCUUGCGCAAUGGGCGAAAGCCUGACGCAGCGACGCCGCGUGGGCGAUGAAGGCCUUCGGGUUGUAAAGCCCUUUUCUGGGGGACGAGGAAGGACGGUACCCCAGGAAUAAGUCACGGCUAACUACGUGCCAGCAGCCGCGGUAAAACGUAGGUGGCAAGCGUUAUCCGGAAUCACUGGGCGUAAAGGGCGUCUAGGCGGACGGGUAAGUCGUGCGUGAAAGCUUCCGGCUCAACCGGGAGAGGUCGUACGAUACUGCCUGUCUUGAGGGUCGGAGAGGGACGUGAAAUCCCCGGUGUAGCGGUGAAAUGCGUAGAUAUCGGGAGGAACACCCGUGGCGAGGGCGGCCUCCUGGGUUGUUCCUGACGCUGAGGCCCGAAAGCGUGGGGAGCGAACCGGAUUAGAUCCCCCGGUAGU
rnacentral:rRNA from 1 species